UACGGAGGGUGCGAGCGUUGUCCGGAAUCACUGGGCGUAAAGGGCGCGUAGGAGGCGCGGGCAGUCAACGGUGAAAGUUCGGGGCUCAACCCUGAAUCGGCCGUCGAUACUCCCGGGCUUGAGCACUGUAGAGGCUAAUGGAAUUCCGGGUGUAGCGGUGGAAUGCGUAGAGAUCCGGAAGAACACCGGUGGCGAAGGCGGUUAGGUGGGCAGUUGCUGGCACUGAGGCGCGACAGCGUGGGGAGCAAACAGG
rnacentral:rRNA from 1 species